UACGAAGGGGGCAAGCGUUGUUCGGAAUUACUGGGCGUAAAGGGUGCGUAGGCGGUCCGCUAAGGUUGGAUGUGAAAACUCUGGGCUAACCCAGAGCCUGCAUUCAAAACUGACGGGCUAGAGUUCUGGAGGGGGUAGCGGAAUUCCUGGUGUAGCGGUGAAAUGCGUAGAUAUCAGGGGGAACACCGGUGGCGAAGGCGGCUACCUGGACCAGCACUGACACUGAGGCACGAAAGCGUGGGGAGCAAACAGGG
rnacentral:rRNA from 1 species